AUACGGUGGUAGUAAUGUGUGUG
rnacentral:siRNA from 1 species